GAAGGCAUCCUAAUGCAUACUAUAUUCCUUUUGCAGAACAUCCAGAAUUUUACAAGGAUCACAGCAGUAGAAAAAAGAGUGAUGCUGGAACACAACCAACAGAAACCAAUGAUGUAGACAUUGUAGGGAGAAGACAGGCUGCUACUGAUGAGUUGAUGCUUGAACGUUUCCGCAAACGGGAAAGAAAUCGUGCCAUGCGCAGAUAGCAUCAAAGAUAAUUGUAUUUGGCCACAGAAUUUCAUGAUCUUUGGCUUUGGAUGGAUUCGGCCCCCAUAAAGGAUCAUAGGAUUUUGAGUAAGGCCUGUUUUUUACUGUUUUAUAUGCCUAAGAAUUCAAUAUUGAAUAUAUACAUAUAUGAGAUGUUCUGAUUUAGGCUUCAUUUGUGACAGCUUUCUUAUUGCUUUAUGAAUCAGAUUUUUAGUGCAAAAAUUUUUAAUUCAAAAAAUU